UAAAGUCCCAAUGAGAAUUUAGGCCUUGGAGGCCUGGACAGCUCACCUUUGCAAGCUCCUGAGAAAGGGGCUUAGACUGAAGUGAACUGAAGCAGGAGGAGAUGGAGUCAGUCUGCCAGAUAACCGGCACUUUCUCACCUCCUGGAACGCACUGUUCCCAAUGCUCGGUCCAACUCCAACCACCAGGGAGCAAUGAGAACGAGUGUAGAACAUGGGAUGACGUGGACAGAUCUGACCUUCUGGAUAGUUCACCGGCUUCAUUAUGGAGAACAGACUGGUGGGGGCCAGAGAAGAUGCCGAGUCAGAAGAGACCUUGGAAGCCUCAUACCCCCACCUUGUCUGACCCCUUCUACAAAGGAGUGAACAGAGGCUGCACCUGGUUUGGUGUCUGGCGGAG